CGCGGGAUGGAGCAGUUCGGUAGCUCGUCGGGCUCAUAACCCGAAGGUCGGGGGUUCAAAUCCGCCUCCCGCAA
rnacentral:tRNA from 2 species